AUUGAACGCUGGCGGCAUGCUUUACACAUGCAAGUCGAACGGCAGCGCGGGCUUCGGCCUGGCGGCGAGUGGCGAACGGGUGAGUAAUGCAUCGGAACGUGCCCAGUAGUGGGGGGUAGCCCGGCGAAAGCCGGAUUAAUACCGCAUACGACCUGAGGGUGAAAGCGGGGGACCGAAAGGCCUCGCGCUAUUGGAGCGGCCGAUGUCGGAUUAGCUAGUUGGUGGGGUAAAGGCUUACCAAGGCGACGAUCCGUAGCUGGUCUGAGAGGACGACCAGCCACACUGGGACUGAGACACGGCCCAGACUCCUACGGGAGGCAGCAGUGGGGAAUUUUGGACAAUGGGGGCAACCCUGAUCCAGCCAUGCCGCGUGCGGGAAGAAGGCCUUCGGGUUGUAAACCGCUUUUGUUCGGGAAGAAAUCCUCUGGGCUAAUACCCCGGGGGGAUGACGGUACCGGAAGAAUAAGCACCGGCUAACUACGUG
rnacentral:rRNA from 1 species